GACGUAGGGCGCGAGCGUUGUCCGGAUUUAUUGGGCGUAAAGAGCUCGUAGGCGGCUUGUCGCGUCGACUGUGAAAUCCCGCGGCUCAACUGCGGGUCUGCAGCCGAUACGGGCAGGCUAGAGUUCGGUAGGGGAGACUGGAAUUCCUGGUGUAGCGGUGAAAUGCGCAGAUAUCAGGAGGAACACCGGUGGCGAAGGCGGGUCUCUGGGCAUUAACUGACGCUGAGGAGCGAAAAGCAUGGGGGAGCGAACAGG
rnacentral:rRNA from 1 species